CCUUACCAGGUCUUGACAUACCAUUGACCGUUCUAGAGAUAGGAUUUUCCCUUCGGGGACAAUGGAUACAGGUGGUGCAUGGUUGUCGUCAGCUCGUGUCGUGAGAUGUUGGGUUAAGUCCCGCAACGAGCGCAACCCCUGUCGUUAGUUGCCAGCAUUCAGUUGGGGACUCUAACGAGACUGCCAGAGACAAACUGGAGGAAGGUGGGGAUGACGUCAAAUCAUCAUGCCCCUUAUGACCUGGGCUACACACGUGCUACAAUGGUUGGUACAAAGAGAAGCGAAGCGGUGACGUGGAGCAAACCUCAUAAAGCCAAUCUCAGUUCGGAUUGUAGGCUGCAACUCGCCUACAUGAAGUUGGAAUCGCUAGUAAUCGCGAAUCAGAAUGUCGCGGUGAAUACGUUCCCGGGUCUUGUACACACCGCCCGUCACACCACGAGAGUUUACAACACCCGAAGUCAGUGGCCUAACCGCAAGGAGGGAGCUGCCUAAGGUGGGGUAGAUGAUUGGGGUGAAGUCGUAACAAGGUGUCCCUACCGGAAG
rnacentral:rRNA from 1 species